GAUCAUGCUCAGAAUAAACGCUGGCGGCGUGUCUUAAGCAUGCAAGUCGGACGGCAAGCCGCCUUCGGGCGGCCUAGAGUGGCGGACUGGUGAGUAACACGUGGGUGAUAUACCUUUUGGACGGGGAUAGCCCCUAGAAAUAGGGGGUAAUACCGGAUAAGGCCGUGCGGGUUGGAGCCGCACGGGGAAAGGCGCUAUGGCGCCGCCGAAAGAAUAGCCUGCGACCUAUCAGCUUGUUGGUGAGGUAAAGGCCC
rnacentral:rRNA from 1 species